AACGGAGAAAACACAAACGCUUUGAGGUUUAUGCAGAAUGCAAGAGAACGCAAUCUCCUCCCACUCCCACUGUGGCUGUGCUUGCGUAACUACUCAUGAACAGCUGCCAAAAUAUGACAAGACCAUCAAUCAAGACUUUGAUAUUACAAUAUCAGAAAAUUAAAACGACGAACUAUCAAGGAUCCACCAAAAAGCCUACUGGGGACGUCUUGGUCGAGGCAGACACUAUACUUCAAAACCUGAAGUGAAGGUGUUGGGAACCGGUACCUGCAUUCCUUCAUAAAAACAGAGCACUAAAUCUCUGACAGUCCCUCACGAACAUGGAUUAAUGAACUGCAAAGAUGAUCUUAAGAUUUCUGUUGCUUUCCUCCAUGUAGCAAAUGUGCCCUUAUAUGCAUCGGCAUAUCUGAUUUGUUCUGCUUUCAGCUGUGACCUGGUUUUGUUGCCCGAACAGUUAUAUCAGCAUGUGAUUUCAAAAAUAUCCACACCUCACAACACAGGCACAAGAUUGAGUGAAGGGACAGUUCACCCAAAAAUUAGAAUUAUGGCAUCAUUUAUGUCUUCAUUUACUCACCCUCAAGUUUGUUUGUUCUGUUGAAAGCAGAGAAAGAUAUUUGGAAGAAGGCUUAUAACCAAACAGUUCUUGGCAACCACCAUAGAAGGAAAAAUAGCAAUGGUAGUCAAAAGUGCCCCAGACCUGUUUGUCUUUCUACAUUUUUAACAGAACAAAGAAAUUUACAAAACAAUUUUUCCUACUAUGGUGGUCAUUCUAUGGUAGCAGUUCAAUAGAAACGAAAGCUCUCUGUUCAGCUUUAGAAGUUGCAUGUGGCAUUAACUGCAUGUAAACGCAUAUACAAAUGUAAAAAUGAUUAAAUAAAAGGCUUUAAUUUAUUGAAAAUAUUAAAUAUGAAGUAAAAUGUGUAAAAUGUAUAACAUGUUCACUGGCCAUAUAUUAACAUUAUACAGUAUAUUUGAGAUAUAAAAAUGUAUACAAAUUCCACUGUUUAUUGACAUAUUGCAAAGUAUAUGUGCAAAUAUUAAACAGUUGUUUUUA